rnacentral:tRNA from 1 species
GGGGUUGUGGCUCAGAGGUAGAGCACUCGCCUGGCAUGUGUGAGGCACUGGGUUGAAUCCUUAGCACCA